GUCAGUUCGGCCGCAACGUUCAACAUGAACACACGCAUGUCGAAAUCGUCCGCGCUCCGUUAUCAUAUCGCUAUUAUAUAAUUGGUCACAAUAACAUUACGUCAUUAUCAUGCCGCAUACACCUAAAACAACUAAGCGAAACCUAUCGAACAGUUCGCCCAGUCAAAUCGACAAAAACACAAAAGUUUUUGUCACCCCGAAUCGUUACGCCGUACUCAACACCGAUGAAGACAAUAUACUCACCACACCUACAACUAGCACCACGGAAGAUCCGGACAGACCACCUCACAAAGUUCACAACGCUAAGCCCGUGGCCCCUCCUAUCCACAUCAAAAACAUAUCCAACUUCUCAGCAUUCAACACCGUCCUAAAUAAUAUCACCGGACCCAACGGUUUCACCUGUUCCUUGGUCUAGAAAUUCGCAAAUCGCCCUUACGUUGCCAAUGAACAAAAUCAAGUAGUGCACCCGCCGCCACUACCAUAACGAACCAAAACUUCAACAGGUGUGUCACGUGCUGCUUUUAAGUACGAGGCGUCGGAGCAUAUUAAACGAUUGGCCAAGCACCGCCAAAUACCGAAAGCUGUCGACGAAAAGAUGUGCUCCUCGGCGAAGCCAUUGUCGCUUGUUUACAAGACGUCGGAACGAGCACGGCCGGCGUAUAGAGCAUUCCGUUGAAUGGACACUUUUGAGCCACAGCGGGCCCGCCCGACCGCGCUCGUCCCCAAGGCGAGUCAGUCGUUGUCAGUCCAACAGAGCCUCCACAAAUC